rnacentral:rRNA from 1 species
CAGUAGCCGCGGUAAUACAGAGGGUGCGAGCGUUAAUCGGAAUUACUGGGCGUAAAGCGCGCGUAGACGGUUUUGUAAGUCAGAUGUGAAAUCCCUGGGCUCAACCUGGGAACUGCAUUUGAAACUGCAUGGCUAGAGUAUCGAAGAGGGAAGUGGAAUUUCCGGUGUAGCGGUGAAAUGCGUAGAUAUCGGAAGGAACACCAGUGGCGAAAGCGACUUCCUGGUCGAAUACUGACGUUCAUGUGCGAAAGCGUGGGGAGCAAACAGGAUUAGAGACCCGCGUAGUCCCUGUCUCUUAUAA